GACUUUUAUGUUAUCCAAUCUUUUAUGAUAUUGAAAGUCCUUUGACGUUUCAGUUUGAAGAAGCAGUGAUCGAAAAUAUUGAAAGCCAUCCAGGAGAAUUAACAGACUUAUGUAACCAUUGUACCAAUGGUCAAUUUAGAGAAGCUGUAGUAAGAGGAUCACUACCAGCAAACCCUCCUUUAACUUCUAUUGCUUGCAAUAUACCAUCAACAUGUACCCAGACAAAUGGAAUCGUUUGCGGUAAGAAUGAUAUCAUUCCAAAAAGCUGUCCAGAAACAACAACUGAAAGCCCAUCAACGACAGCUGAAUCAACAACAACCACAGCUGAAUCAACAACAACCACACUUGAAUCAACAACAACCACACCUGAAUCAACAUCAACCACACCUGAAUCAAUUACAACCACACCUGAAUCAACAACAACCGCA